rnacentral:rRNA from 1 species
CCUACGGGAGGCAGCAGUGGGGAAUAUUGGACAAUGGGCGAAAGCCUGAUCCAGCCAUGCCGCGUGUGUGAAGAAGGCCUUCGGGUUGUAAAGCACUUUCAGUGGGGGAAGAAAGCCUUGGGGCUAAUACCCUCGAGGAAGGACAUCACCCACAGAAGAAGCACCGGCUAACUCCGUGCCAGCAGCCGCGGUAAUACGGAGGGUGCGAGCGUUAAUCGGAAUUACUGGGCGUAAAGCGCGCGUAGGCGGUCUGAUAAGCCGGUUGUGAAAGCCCCGGGCUCAACCUGGGAACGGCAUCCGGAACUGUCAGGCUAGAGUGCAGGAGAGGAAGGUAGAAUUCCCGGUGUAGCGGUGAAAUGCGUAGAGAUCGGGAGGAAUACCAGUGGCGAAGGCGGCCUUCUGGACUGACACUGACGCUGAGGUGCGAAAGCGUGGGUAGCAAACAGGAUUAGAUACCCCGGUAGUC